rnacentral:rRNA from 1 species
GACGAACGCUGGCGGCGUGCUUAACACAUGCAAGUCGAACGGAAAGGCCCUGCUUUUGUGGGGUGCUCGAGUGGCGAACGGGUGGGUACACGUGAGUAACCUGCCCUUGACUUUGGGAUAACUUCAGGAAACUGGGGCUAAUACCGGAUAGGAGCUCCUGCUGCAUGGUGGGGGUUGGAAAGUUUCGGCGGUUGGGGAUGGACUCGCGGCUUAUCAGCUUGUUGGUGGGGUAGUGGCUUACCAAGGCUUUGACGGGGAGCCGGCCUGAGAGGGUGACCGGCCACAUUGGGACUGAGAUACGGCCCAGACUCCUACGGGAGGCAGCAGUGGGGAAUAUUGCACAAUGGGCGGAAGCCUGAUGCAGCAACGCCGCGUGCGGGAUGACGGCCUUCGGGUUGUACACCGCUUUCGCCUGUGACGAAGCGUGAGUGACGGUAAUGGGUAAAGAAGCACCGGCUAACUACGUG